rnacentral:misc_RNA from 1 species
AGAAGCCUUGCAAGGUUAGGUCCAUUACGUAGAUUUUAUAAAUGCUCUUUUAACACACAACACAACACAACCAUCUUUGAGGGAAUAUUAGCAAAUAUUGUUUUCAGUUCUUCUUUCCUUUGCUAGAAACUAUAUGUGUUAUAAACGAUUAUAAGCAUGGGGAAUAACUUGUAAUGAGUUCCUACCUUGUAAUUUACCUUGAGGGAAAAUCUUCUUGGCAUGUAUUCGUUUGCUUGUUAAUGAAGUUGAAACCAG